rnacentral:rRNA from 1 species
AUGCUCUGCUUACCCGUCAUCAGCAACAUUCAAGUCACCAAGACCCUCAUCGAUGGCGGCGCAGGGCUCAAUGUCCUUUCUGUCAAGACAUUCGACAGUCUCCAGGUGCCAUACGAUCAACUACAGCCUACCAAGCCUUUCUCACGAGUGACCGACGGCUCCACCACCCCGAUAGGGUGGGUCUGCCUGCCUGUCACCUUCGGCCAGUGUAACAACUACCUCCCCGAGCUCAUCGACUUUGACGUCGCCCACAUCCGCCUGUCGUACAACGCCAUCCUUGGGUAUCCAGCCUUGGCCAAGUUUAUGGUAGUGACCCACCACGGCUACAACGUCUUCAAGAUACCAAGGAGCGGCGGCAUCAUCACGGUCCUUGAUACGUCUCCAACGUAUCUAUAA